CUUUUCGUGGUUUGUCAUUCAUCCACAUGUCUUUUUCUUCUUCGUGUUUUCAGUAAAAUUACUUGAAGUAAAAGUUAUUACAGAUUUUUAAAGUAUUUUCAAGUGAAAAAGGAAGGAAGAAUGGAGGACCAUGUUGAUGAAGACAAGAAAAAGGCUCACCGGGAACGCCGUGCUGGGCGCAAAGCGGACAAGAAAAAUUCAAGGAUCCACACAUCCAAGAAAUGGAUGAGAAAAGCUUUUGCUAUCCAGUCAUUAGCCAAGGCUCGGAAACAUUUUCACAGAGCACGUAAAUGAAAAAAGCAUCAUAUUCCAUUAGUAGACAGGACUCCAUUAGAACCCCCACCGAUCAUGGUAGCCAUUGUUGGCCCACCCAAAGUUGGAAAAACCACUCUACUCCAAGCUCUAAUAAAAAACUUUACACGACAGAAUAUCACAUCCAUACAGGGGCCCGUAAAAAACGAAGGGUGACUUUUAUGGAAUGCAAUAACGACAUCAACUCAAUGAUAGACAUCGCGAAAGUGGCUGACCUUGUUCUGCUUUUGACUGAUGCUUCGUUUGGCUUUGAAAUGGAAAUUUUUGAAUUUCUUAACAUCUGUCAGGUGCAUGGAUUCCCCCGAGUAAUGGGCGUUCUGACUCAUCUGGACAUGUUCAAGAAUAACAAACAACUGAAAAAAACUAAAAAAGUUUUGAAGCACAGAUUUUGAACAGAAGUUUACCAGUGAGCGAAAUUGUUUUGCCUUUCUGGUCAACUCCACGGAACCUACCCUACAAACGAGAUCAAGAACCUCGGCCGCUUUAUCUCGGUCAUGAAAUUCCUACCUCUGUUGUGGAGAUCGACUCAUCCUUACGUCUUGGUGGACCGAUUGGAAGACAUGACACCUCCCAGUCGAUUACACGAGAAUCCCAAAUGCAAUCGGGACAUCUGCCUUUACGGUUUCGUGCGUGGUGUCCACUUGAGAAAUCACUGCCCCAUCCACAUCCCAGGCUGUGGUGAUUUCCGCCUUAAAGAUGUUUCUUUUCUUCCCGAUCCUUGCCCUUUACCGGAUAAAUUGAAAAAACGUUCGCUGGUCGAAAAGGAGAAGCUGAUCUAUGCCCCCAUGUCUGGGGUGGGCGGUAUCAUCUACGACAAGGAUUCCAUCUACAUUGAGCUUGACGGCAGUCACUCGCACUCCAAACAGGAUGGCCCUACAAAUCCUAAAUCAGAGAUGAUCUCGUCGCUGAUGAAGUUGCAAAGGACGCUGGAUGUACAGAUGUCUGAAUCAAAAGUAGAAGGACCUACUCUGACUCGGGCGGAAAUUUUGGCUGCCCGAUUUUGGCUGCCCGAUUCACAUUAAGAAACCCGUUCGGCUGCCCAGCUGACACCAAGGCCGUCAUUGAAUGCUCGUCUGACUCGGACUGUUCCGGCCGGGCCAAGUGCUGCUCCAACGGAUGCAGUUCCACCUGCACCUCCCCCGAAGAAAACAGUUCCGGCCCGUUGAUGAUGUCCAUCUCUCUGCCCGUCUGCACCCUGAAGGGCGACUAUGCCCGGGAGCAGAGCCAGGGCGAGUUCAGCUGGUGCGUGGACACGACCGGCCAGCCCAUCGACGACUCCUUCACCCGCGGAUCGGUCCGCUGCUCGCCCAACGGGACCGUCCUGGAGCAACGGACCCUGGGUCCCAUCUGCCCCGACCCGAGCGUCCAGCCAACCGCCUACCGGGACGAGUGCCUCCACGUCCGCUGCCCGUUCAUCCCGGACGCCAUCUGCGUGGCCGAUCCUUGCGACGACUGCAAGGUGGCCUUCAUCGACGAACAGGGCCAGCGGCUUGAGUGCACCGAUCGCUGCAGCUAGCCGGCCGAGACGGGCCACUGUUGGGCCCUUUUCCCCCGCUACUGUUACAACGUUUCUUCCCGAUCCUGGGAGGAAUUCAUUUCCGGCGGAUGCGAAGGCAACGAAAAUAAUUUCGAAUCCGUCCAGGAGUGCAGCCAACACUGCGAGAAACCAGUGAACGUGUGUGAAUUGCCCAAGGAGCCGGGCAUGUGCCGGGCGAAUUUCCCUCGCUGGGCUUACAAUCCGUAGACUCAGCUGUGCGAGAAAUUCUCGUUCGGCGGAUGCGGAGGCAGCGCCAACAACUUUCAAAGUUACCAGCAGUGCGCCAGCCGCUGCCCGGACUUGGUCCUCUGCCCGCAGCAGUCGCCGAUGCAGGGCGAGAUCAAGUCGUGUAGCCGUAACGAGGCCUGCGCCGGACAGACGUGCGCCAACCACCCGGAAGCUGCUUGUUCCGUCGAUCCUGCACCUGUCAGGCCGUCUUUGUCGGCGCAGACGGACAGGCCGUCAAGUGCCUGGGUCAAGUCGAGCCGGCCGUCCUCCAAGCCGAGCCCCGCCACGCCUUCCACGACGUCCAGCCGGAAGUCAAAGAGUCGACGACAACAACAACCACGACAACAACUACCACCACCAGCCCAACAACCACCACAACAACAACGACGAAAGCCCCAACAACAACGUUGGGUUAAUGUUGAUUAACGCUUUAUAAUCAUCCAUUGGCGAGAAAUGAAUUUUCAAUUUGAUUAAUAAAACCUUGUCACAUUU